rnacentral:tmRNA from 24 species
GGGGGCGUUCUUGGAUUCGACGGGGAUUGCGAGGCUCGAGGUGCAUGUCGAGAAUGAGAGAAUCUCGUUAAAUACUUUCAAAACUUAUAGUUGCAAACGACGACAACUACGCUUUAGCGGCUUAAUUCCCGCUUUCGCUUACCUAGAUUUGUCUGUGGGUUUACCGUAAGCGACAUUAACACAGAAUCGCUGGUUAACGCGUCCGCUGUUAAUCGGUUAAAUUAAGCGGAAUCGCUUGUAAAAUGCCUGAGCGUUGGCUGUUUAUGAGUUAAACCUAAUUAACUGCUCUAAACAUGUAGUACCAAAAGUUAAGGAUUCGCGGACGGGGGUUCAAAUCCCCCCGCCUCCACCA